rnacentral:tRNA from 1 species
GGAUAGCUCAGCUGGUUAGAGCAUGGAGCUGAUAAUGCUAAGGUUGCAGGUUCAAUCCCCAUAUGAGACA